rnacentral:rRNA from 1 species
GACGAACGCUGGCGGCGUGCUUAACACAUGCAAGUCGAACCAUGAAGCUGGAGCUUGCUCCGGUGGAUUAGUGGCGAACGGGUGAGUAACACGUGAGAAAUCUGCCCUUGACUCUGGGAUAACUGCGGGAAACUGUAGCUAAUACCGGAUACUUUCCUCGGUGGGCAUCCACUGGGGAAGAAAGAAUUUCGGUCAAGGAUGAUCUCGCGGCCUAUCAGGUAGUUGGUGAGGUAAUGGCUCACCAAGGCGACGACGGGUAGCCGGCCUGAGAGGGUGACCGGCCACACUGGGACUGAGACACGGCCCAGACUCCUACGGGAGGCAGCAGUGGGGAAUAUUGCACAAUGGGCGCAAGCCUGAUGCAGCAACGCCGCGUGAGGGAUGAAGGCCUUCGGGUUGUAAACCUCUUUUAGCAGGGAAGAAGCGAAAGUGACGGUACCUGCAGAAAAAGCACCGGCUAACUACGUGCCAGCCGCCGCGGUAA